rnacentral:rRNA from 1 species
AACGAACGCUGGCGGCAUGCCUAACACAUGCAAGUCGAACGAGACCUUCGGGUCUAGUGGCGCACGGGUGCGUAACGCGUGGGAACCUGCCCUCUGGUUCGGAAUAACUCAGGGAAACUUGAGCUAAUACCGGAUAAUGACUUCGGUCCAAAGAUUUAUCGCCUGAGGAUGAGCCCGCGUCGGAUUAGCUAGUUGGUGAGGUAAAGGCUCACCAAGGCGACGAUCCGUAGCUGGUCUGAGAGGAUGAUCAGCCACACUGGGACUGAGACACGGCCCAGACUCCUACGGGAGGCAGCAGUGGGGAAUAUUGGACAAUGGGCGAAAGCCUGAUCCAGCAAUGCCGCGUGAGUGAUGAAGGCCUUAGGGUUGUAAAGCUCUUUUACCCGGGAUGAUAAUGACAGUACCGGGAGAAUAAGCCCCGGCUAACUCCGUGCCAGCCGCCGCCGCAG